rnacentral:rRNA from 1 species
AUGGUACUUAAGUGGCUCUGGCUGCCCAAAGGAACCCUAGGUCCGUCGCUAGGGUUUCCAGCCACCAGAUCGGAGGCGCGUCGUUUCGGCCGCUCCGCUCGCUCCCUCCUCCCCAUCCGCCCCCCGCUGCUCCUCCUGCACUCCUUCGCCGAGGUGGUAGCCAUGGGCUCCAAAGACAACCGGUGGGCGGACAAGCGUCCCCUGCCGCCCCUCUACCCGGCAGCGGAGCGUUGCCGCGAAUGCGAGCUUCGUGUGCACGCCAAGGCGCAAGGUGCGGUGCACGACGGUGAGGCUGGCUGUUGGGGGCCGCCGCCGUCGUGGUGGCUGAAGGAGCAGGAGCGCAAGAAGCGGAAGAAGGAAGAAUACAAGAAGAAGGGGCUCGAGCUCAAGCGUCUCGAGGAGAUGCCGCAGUUCCAAGGCGACCGGACCGGCGACCCCUACGCCGCGAAGAAGAAGAAGAAGUUGAAGCCGGUGGGGAAGUCGAGCUCCAAGACGCCGACCUCACUUCCUGUGGUGUCCUCCAAGGGCACGGCCGCUGAGCCCAUUCCAGUGGAGGAGGCCGAGGACAGGGGGUGCUUCAAGUGCGGCCAUGCAGGCCAUUUCCAGAGCAACUGCAAGUUUCAGCCUCUCUGCAUCCUCUGCUCCCAGGAGGGCCAUGUCUCGGCCUGUUGUCCCUCUCGUGGCAAGCCCCUCAUGCUUCAGACUAUGUGGGACGCCAUUCCGGGAUAG